GCAUAUCAAUAAGCGGAGGAAAAAGAAACCAACAGGGAUUGCCCUAGUAACGGCGAGUGAAGCGGCAACAGCUCAAAUUUGAAAGCUGGCUCCGGCCCGCGUUGUAAUUUGCAGAGGAUGCUUCUGGCAAGGUGCCUUCCGAGUUCCCUGGAACGGGACGCCAUAGAGGGUGAGAGCCCCGUAUGGAUGGACACCAAGCCUGUGUGAAGCUCCUUCAACGAGUCGAGUAGUUUGGGAAUGCUGCUCAAAAUGGGAGGUAAAUCUCUUCUAAAGCUAAAUACCGGCCAGAGACCGAUAGCGCACAAGUAGAGUGAUCGAAAGAUGAAAAGCACCUUGAAAAGGGGGUUAAACAGUACGUGAAAUUGUUGAAAGGGAAGCGCUUGUGACCAGACUUGCGCCGGGCGGCUCAUCAGGGGUUCUCCCCUGUGCACUCCGCCCGGCUCAGGCCAGCAUCGGUUCUCGUGGGGGGAUAAGAACGGUGGGAACGUGGCCCCCUCUCGGGGGGGUGUUAUAGCCCACCGUACGAUACUCUCGUGGGGACCGAGGUUCGCGCUCCGCAAGGAUGCUGGCGUAAUGGUCAUCAGCGACCCGUCUUGAAACACGGACCAAGGAGUCGUCCAUUAGAGCGAGCGUUUGGGUGUAAAACCCGCACGCGUAAUGAAAGUGAACGCAGGUGAGAGCUUCGGCGCAUCAUCGACCGAUCCUGAUGUCUUCGGAUGGAUUUGAGUAAGAGUUUUAACGGACGGACCCGAAAGACAGUGAACUAUGCUUGUAUAGGGUGAAGCCAGAGGAAACUACUGGUGGAGGCUCGCAGCGGUUCUGACGUGCAAAUCGAUCGUCAAAUAUGAGCAUGGGGGCGAAAGACUAAUCGAACUGUCUAGUAGCUGGUUACCGCCGAAG
rnacentral:rRNA from 1 species